UAUGUUUAUGGGAUCUGUUAAUAAAUGAAAGGCGGAAUUUAAUUAAAUAGUGCGGUUUCAAGUACUACGUUUACAUAUGAAAAGCUACUAGCUCCAUAACUCCUGCAGAUUGAAAGCAACAUUAAUUUUACGUUCUAUUUGUACACGCAGGUAUUGAAGAUACAAAUGUAAUUAAAAUUCUAGCAAAGGGUCAUUUCCUAAUAGGCUGACGAAUUAUCGAGCCUCCAAAACCGAAAAUGGUUAACACAAAUAUGGCGAAGAGAGGACAAAUUUAAAAUGAGACAGAGAGUUUUGAACGUAUAGACAAGAGAAUACUUACGAGUAAGUUGUCUGCAACAGGCAUGUAAAUAAUUAAAUACCACGGACGAUGGAACGGUGGUUAUCAUAUAAGUUUUUUUCAAUAUUUAUCAUUGUUUAUCUGGAAAACAGAGUCAACUUGGUUUUUAAAUUUAAUUUAGCGAAAAACGUUAAAUGAAUAUGUUAACAAAUAUGAUUAUUAAAAAAUACUUAACCCAUGUUCGAUCAAGUCAAUAGUAUCUAAAUUAAUCCAAAUCAUUUUAAAAUUACAUUUGCAAAUAUCAGUAGUAGUAGAAAAUGAGUUUCAUUGGAGUGUCGCCAGUGCCAAAUAAACGUAUUUUGUAAUCCAUUUUUUAAGUACAGUCUGUCGAUAAGUCAAAAUCACUAGUCAAAACGCAUCUAAAGAUUUAAGCUACCGUUCACAGCCACAGUUGCUUAGGUACAAGGUGCUAAAGUGUUAAAGGCUGAGAGCGGAUUUUUAAUAUAUUAUACGAUUUAUUGUUAAUUUAAAAAAAAUUAAUUUUACUAGACAGUUUCUAUUGGCCGUUAUUGAGAUCUAACUCAGAAACAAUUGAUAUUGUCGCACAAUGACAUCGUCAAUGUUGACAUAAAUCUAUAUUUUUUCAUCGAAAUUGUCUGUUUCAUCAAUUUGCAGUCAUUCCAGAAUCAAAUAACAAUGAUUCACCACGGUCUUCAUCACCGAAAAAAGAAUAUCAUGUAUCUACCGAAAAGAAUACAUAUGGCAGAGACUUUUGGUGGUACCUGCAACGGGCCCCAAUAGUGGUGCCAUUUUGUAUGUACAUCCCAUUUCGCAAUGGCAAAAAAUAAAUACUAAUAAAAUCAUACUAAAAACCCGAAAACCAAUAACUGCGUGUAAUUGAACCAGUAUUGAUUAUAUUUUUCAAAAUCGCAAUGUCGCUGUUGAAGAUAAACCAAAAAGAAAAAAUCAAGCAUGAAAAGAAACCUCAUCCUCUAGUUAUGGAGGUAAAGAAGAUGUUGAAGGAAUACAAUAUGGAAUACGCAAGUCCUCAAGUUAUAGCAAACUUAACAUGCAUCGCCGAAAAUAUGGCAAUCGAACUAUUAAAAAGUGCUGAAUUCUAUUCCCAAAAAAAUGCAGGUGGUAAUCCUGGUACCAUCAACAAGAAUGAUAUAAAAUUAGCAAUAAAUUUGCGAUACCAAGACUGUACAAAAUUACCCGACGAAGACAUUUCAGGCAAUGAUUGAUGCAGCUGUGGCUGUGAACGGCAACCCUCUAUUUUUAAAGGACAUAGCUGGAAUACCCCUACCAAAGGAUAAUUUUGGAAACUGCAAUUAUCGAUUGCACAAUCCUCACAAAAAGUUAAAAAUUGACGUCCACCGAGAUCAUUCUCUUCCGUAUUAUUCAUACCUUAUGUCCUACAAUAAUUACAAAUCAAGAAAAACUGGUAACAUAAAUAUGAAUAACUAUUUAUUCAAAAAUCCAAUGCAAAUGCGUCCUAUGGAUGAAUUGCCUAUGAAAGUAACCGUGACUCCUACAUAUGAAAUGUUGCCCACCGGACAAUCCAUGCUCAAGAAAAAAUUUAAUCGUCGAUAUAGAUAAGGUAUGAAAUUCUUCAACAUAGACAUAUUAAGUGCAGGAUAUACAAUCACAAGAAUAAUUUGCUUUCAUACAAAUAAGUAUAACUAAUUUCUAUACAAUAAUGAAUUACAUGUAAUACGUACCUUCUAAGUUGAUAUAUUAAUCUAUGUUCAUAAAUAAACAUCGGGAUGUGAAUCAAUGAA